AGUGAACGCUGGCGGUAGGCCUAACACAUGCAAGUCGAACGGCAGCACAGUAAGAGCUUGCUCUUACGGGUGGCGAGUGGCGGACGGGUGAGGAAUACAUCGGAAUCUACUUUUUCGUGGGGGAUAACGUAGGGAAACUUACGCUAAUACCGCAUACGACCUACGGGUGAAAGCAGGGGAUCUUCGGACCUUGCGCGAUUGAAUGAGCCGAUGUCGGAUUAGCUAGUUGGCAGGGUAAAGGCCCACCAAGGCGACGAUCCGUAGCUGGUCUGAGAGGAUGAUCAGCCACACUGGAACUGAGACACGGUCCAGACUCCUACGGGAGGCAGCAGUGGGGAAUAUUGGACAAUGGGCGCAAGCCUGACCCAGCCAUACCGCGUGGGUGAAGAAGGCCUUCGGGUUGUAAAGCCCUUUUGUUGGGAAAGAAAAGCAGCAGGUUAAUAUCCCGCUGUUCUGACGGUACCCAAAGAAUAAGCACCGGCUAACUUCGUG
rnacentral:rRNA from 1 species